rnacentral:rRNA from 1 species
CUGGCUCAGGAUGAACGCUGGCGGCGUGCCUAACACAUGCAAGUCGAGCGGAGAUAAGUUGAAGCCUAGCGAUUCUUAUCUUAGCGGCGGAUGGGUGAGUAACACGUGGGUAACCUGCCCUGCACUGGGGAAUAACAGCGGGAAACGGCUGUUAAUGCCGCAUAUGCGCACGGAGCCGCAUGGCUUUGGGCGGAAAGAUUUAUCGGUGCAGGAUGGGCCCGCGCCGGAUUAACUAGUUGGCGGGGUAACGGCCCACCAAGGUGAUGAUCCGUAGCCGACCUGAGAGGGUGACCGGCCACAUUGGGACUGAGACACGGCCCAAACUCCUACGGGAGGCAGCAGUGGGGAAUAUUGCACAAUGGGCGAAAGCCUGAUGCAGCGAACCGCCGCGUGAGCGAAGAAGUAUUUCGGUAUGUAAAGCUCUAUCAGCAGGGAAGAUAAUGACGGUACCUGACUAAGAAGCACCGGCUAAAUACGUGCCAGCAGCCGC